rnacentral:rRNA from 1 species
GACGAACGCUGGCGGCGUGCUUAACACAUGCAAGUCGAACGGAAAGGCCUCUUUCGGGGGGUACUCGAGUGGCGAACGGGUGAGUAACACGUGAGUAACCUGCCCUUGACUUUGGGAUAACUUCAGGAAACUGGGGCUAAUACCGGAUAGGAGCUCCUGCUGCAUGGUGGGGGUUGGAAAGUUUCGGCGGUUGGGGAUGGACUCGCGGCUUAUCAGCUUGUUGGUGGGGUAGUGGCUUACCAAGGCUUUGAUGGGUAGCCGGCCUGAGAGGGUGACCGGCCACAUUGGGACUGAGAUACGGCCCAGACUCCUACGGGAGGCAGCAGUGGGGAAUAUUGCACAAGGGGUGGAAGCCUGAUGCAGCAACGCCGUGGGCGGGAGGACGGCCUUCGGGUUGUAAACCGCUUUCGCUCAUGACGAAGCUUUGUGUGACGGUAGUGGGUAAAGAAGCACCGGCUAACUACGUG